AAUACAACAUAAAACCCACCCUCUCCCUUCUCUGUCUCUCUCUCUCUCUAAAAAAUACACCUGCAGUCUUCGCCAUCACCAUCUCUGCUUCCUCUCUCUCUCCAUUGCUCUUCCUCUAUAUACAUACAUACAUACAUCUGUAUAUUGUGUUAGGGUUCGUGUUUUCUCGCUCUAGAAGAAGAGUGAGAUUCGUUCGUUUUCUCUCUCUAGAAGUUGAUGGAGUAGUCUCUCUCUCUCUCUCUCGCUCUAAUGGCGACUGUGCCUGUGAAGUCUCAGCCUCUGCACAACUUCUCUCUUCCCUUAUUGAAAUGGGGCCACAAAAACCAGAUGAACUCCAACCACCGGUAUCGCAGGCACUCGGAGACUCCGGAGCGCCACCGCUCGCCGCCGUCGGACCAGGACUCCGACGGUGGAGGUGGUUUCAAGAACGAGUGGGAGUUUGAGAAUCGGAGGUUUUCGGUCGGAUCGCGGAGCGCACAGAAGAACCGGUUCUCAUUCGCGUCCUGUUCGUCGCUGAACCAAGAAGCGGUGGUUUUAGUGGAUGGAGAGAGAGAGAAGGAAAAGGUCUGCGAUGAGGUUGAGGCCGAGGAAUCAUCGAUGGCGAAGCCGUGGAAUCUAAGGCCGAGAAAGGCUGUUGCGAAAGCUGCGGUGGAGAUCGGAGGGGUUUCGAAGAAUGGAGAAUUGCAGGAAAGUUUAUCUGCAAUUCCGGUUGUGCAGCAGACGGAGAAUCUUCCGAAAUCGAUGAGGUUGAGAGGUUUUGUUGAAGGUCAUGGCUCGGAGAAGAAGGAGAAGAGGAAGUUCUGGAUCGCGCUUUCUCGGGAGGAGAUUGAAGAGGAUGUGUACGCGAUGACUGGGUCGAAACCAGCUCGGAGGCCGAAGAAGAGACCAAAGUCUGUACAAAAAUAUGUCGAUAAUGUUUUCCCUGGCUUGUAUUUGGCGGGGGUUAGUGCUGAUGCUUACCGAGUUCAUGAUGCUUUGAGGUAGAUGUGAUGGCAAACAAUUGAAGAUUGGAAAGCUUGUUCCUGCUACAUUGAGGCCUCAAUUGGAGCAGACGUAUGUCUCGGGAGAGUAUUAUAUCAAGUCUUCUGAAGACUUGAUCAAGUCACCAACUAGGUGUGUGUUUGAUGUGCAUGCACCACAUCUGUUCUUACACUUCCAAGUAUUUUGUACUCGGCAAUGUGGAUAUAUUCUAUUGAAAAGAGAGAAGUGCCAACAAAGAUACUCAAUAGCAUGUAUUACACAAGGAAAAUUCAAGAGGUUGAAGCUCAUUUUUUGGUAGAUCAGAAAUCUAAGGCUUUGCCGCACUUUCUACAGUAUGUAAAUGCUCCCUGUUGUGCUUAUAGCCUCAAUCGAAUGCUCUCAGUGAGGCUUUUAGAAACAUGGAAGCCAGAUUCUGUACUGAAGGAGAAACCAUUUUGAUGUCAAGUUUUUUGGACGUGCAAAUUUAAAUAUCACGGUCUUGGAGGCUUCUGGUGAACUUGUAUUUUGGACUCGUGAAAGCAUUCUGA